rnacentral:piRNA from 1 species
UGAGACGUUCCUACAGAUGGAUGAGGU